rnacentral:rRNA from 1 species
CCUACGGGAGGCAGCAGUAGGGAAUCUUCCACAAUGGGCGAAAGCCUGAUGGAGCAACGCCGGGUGGGUGAAGAAGGUCUUCGGAUCGUAAAACCCUGUUGUUAGAGAAGAAAGUGCGUGAGAGUAACUGUUCACGUUUCGACGGUAUCUAACCAGAAAGCCACGGCUAACUACGUGCCAGCAGCCGCGGUAAUACGUAGGUGGCAAGCGUUAUCCGGAUUUGUUGGGCGUAAAGGGAACGCAGGCGGUCUUUUAAGUCUGAUGUGAAAGCCUUCGGCUUAACCGGAGUAGUGCAUUGGAAACUGGGAGACUUGAGUGCAGAAGAGGAGAGUGGAACUCCAUGUGUAGCGGUGAAAUGCGUAGAUAUAUGGAAGAACACCAGUGGCGAAAGCGGCUCUCUGGUCUGUAACUGACGCUGAGGUUCGAAAGCGUGGGUAGCAAACAGGAUUAGAUACCCUUGUAGUC